ensembl:lncRNA
UGCAACGUGAUACAUUUUUUUCCCAUUAAAAAUAUUUUGCAUUUGACAAAUUUCAGUAGAAAAAUUCCAAACCAAUGCAUGUACAAAGCUGAGUACAUAGAGGAAUGAGGCCAUCUUUAAUGAGGAUGGUAAUUUAAUGGGGCAAUCUUGCUUUUCCUCUCUUGACCCAUUCCUUACAUACUCUCAGUCUUUGCACUGCUGAAGAAGUCAGCUACCGCAGAAGCACUACAACUGCCAGUCUUUCAUGAAGCAGUAACUAUUCAGGGGGGCUUCAGCCUUUGAGGCAUCAAAAGAAUCUUAUUAAUGUCCCUUUGCUGCUGGAAAUUCAACUAUCUUGCAUUAAUGAAUUAAAAAAAAAUAAAUAAAAAAUAAGAGUUAACCACAACACCCAGUCCAGUCAUCAUUCUUCAUCUACUGCACCUGAUAGAGUGAGGAAAUCCCAGCUGAUGCAAUGCAGCCAUUGAUAAAUAGGGGUUGAGAAGAAUAUCAGUGCUGUAUCUCUUGCAGACUUGCUAUUGAACUUUAGGCCUAAUCAUCAUUCCCAGGCUCUCAUCAGGCUGUUUUAAUUAACUUGCCAUCAGUGACUUCUGUAGAAGCAGAUAAAAUAUUAUAGGUACAAUGUUAUGGCCAGGUGCAAUAUUAAAGCCAAUAGUAUUUGGAAAAUGAAGGAAAAGGGGACUUUGCUGAGAACAGUGCUCAUCUCUAGAACCAUCCUUCUUCAGUGCCUGAAAGACAGGUAAGUAUCACGCUGUUUGCAGGAAAAAAUGUGAGCUCUGUUUCCAGAGUAAUCGUUGUUAAUUCAUAUUUUUCUUGAUAACUCUUCUCUGUUCCCACAGAUAGCCCUCCCAGUCAAGAUGCAGUUCCCAGGACAGAAGUGCCUUUACAAGAGAGGUGAAAGAAUGGUGCCUCUAAUUCAUGGCAGCUCAGCAGCUGUUCCUGAGCAGCUGUGGUACCUCUACUGUGGAGGCAAGAACCUAGGAGAGAAGGGCAGGGCACAUUUCCUGACUGAGUCAAAGGCACAAGGUGAGUUAUGUGAGCACGUGCUAUGUGCUGCAUUAAGAAAAUCUGAGGAGAAUGCACUCAGUGAAAAGCAAAUAGAGCUUGGCAGUAUAAAUAUUUGGGGAGAACGUGAGAAGAAGAGGGGAGAGAAGGUGACACAGAGCUGUUAAGUAAGGUCAGAUCGUUUAUGGUUUUGAAUAGAUUGUUUAAGAGGAGGUCCUGUGUCUAAGGUCUUAACUGUGGAAGUUCUUGUCCUAUAGCAAGGUAUGAAACAAAGCUAUGGUCUCUUUGCUUUUGAUACUUUAAAAAUGAAGUGAAAGAAUUAAAACUCAGCUGGUCAUUUAGAUUUAAAGAAUUAAGCACAUUAUUGACACCUAGGCCCAAAAGAAUUAAAUGCAGAAGGAGAGAAUGUUCUUUGGAGAUGUAGCUGGUUAUUUUUCUAAUCUGAUGCAUCAUCAACAUCUUAGAUGCUACCCUUAGAAAGAAUGCAGCCUUACAGCACUUACCUUUGAACAUCCAGUUUCUUUUUAAAGAGCUUUUGUUUUCUUCAGCCAAUAUUUGAAUUGUAUUCAGCAGUUAAUGUAUUUAAUGAUAAAAUGACUGUGUGUUGGUAUGGAAAGCAACACAGGUGUCAUUCUGAUUUAGAAAAGAGGAGCAGAAGAAUCAAAUCAAACACUACUUUACUUCAACUCUUUGAAGUAAAGAGGGAACAGCCUUGCUCAUAAUGCCACAGAAUAAAAAGAGAAAGGCAGCCA